AACGCUGGCGGCGUGCCUAAUACAUGCAAGUCGAGCGAACGGACGAGAAGCUUGCUUCUCUGAUGUUAGCGGCGGACGGGUGAGUAACACGUGGAUAACCUACCUAUAAGACUGGGAUAACUUCGGGAAACCGGAGCUAAUACCGGAUGAUAUUUUGAACCGCAUGGUUCAAAAGUGAAAGACGGUCUUGCUGUCACUUAUAGAUGGAUCCGCGCUGCAUUAGCUAGUUGGUAAGGUAACGGCUUACCAAGGCAACGAUGCAUAGCCGACCUGAGAGGGUGAUCGGCCACACUGGAACUGAGACACGGUCCAGACUCCUACGGGAGGCAGCAGUAGGGAAUCUUCCGCAAUGGGCGAAAGCCUGACGGAGCAACGCCGCGUGAGUGAUGAAGGUCUUCGGAUCGUAAAACUCUGUUAUUAGGGAAGAACAUAUGUGUAAGUAACUGUGCACAUCUUGACGGUACCUAAUCAGAAAGCCACGGCUAACUACGUGCCAGCAGCCGCGGUAAUACGUAGGUGGCAAGCGUUAUCCGGAAUUAUUGGGCGUAAAGCGCGCGUAGGCGGUUUUUUAAGUCUGAUGUGAAAGCCCACGGCUCAACCGUGGAGGGUCAUUGGAAACUGGAAAACUUGAGUGCAGAAGAGGAAAGUGGAAUUCCAUGUGUAGCGGUGAAAUGCGCAGAGAUAUGGAGGAACACCAGUGGCGAAGGCGACUUUCUGGUCUGUAACUGACGCUGAUGUGCGAAAGCGUGGGGAUCAAACAGGAUUAGAUACCCUGGUAGUCCACGCCGUAAACGAUGAGUGCUAAGUGUUAGGGGGUUUCCGCCCCUUAGUGCUGCAGCUAACGCAUUAAGCACUCCGCCUGGGGAGUACGACCGCAAGGUUGAAACUCAAAGGAAUUGACGGGGACCCGCACAAGCGGUGGAGCAUGUGGUUUAAUUCGAAGCAACGCGAAGAACCUUACCAAAUCUUGACAUCCUUUGACAACUCUAGAGAUAGAGCCUUCCCCUUCGGGGGGGACAAAGUGACAGGUGGUGCAUGGUUGUCGUCAGCUCGUGUCGUGAGAUGUUGGGUUAAGUCCCGCAACGAGCGCAACCCUUAAGCUUAGUUGCCAUCAUUAAGUUGGGCACUCUAAGUUGACUGCCGGUGACAAACCGGAGGAAGGUGGGGAUGACGUCAAAUCAUCAUGCCCCUUAUGAUUUGGGCUACACACGUGCUACAAUGGACAAUACAAAGGGCAGCGAAACCGCGAGGUCAAGCAAAUCCCAUAAAGUUGUUCUCAGUUCGGAUUGUAGUCUGCAACUCGACUACAUGAAGCUGGAAUCGCUAGUAAUCGUAGAUCAGCAUGCUACGGUGAAUACGUUCCCGGGUCU
rnacentral:rRNA from 1 species